GAUGAAUGCUGACAGAAUGCUUAACACAUGCAAGUCAACUGUGGCGGACGGGUGAUUAACGCGUAAAGAACUUGCCUCACAGCUAGGGACAACAUUUGGAAACGAAUGCUAAUACCUGAUACUGUGAGAGAGCUUUGCGUCGCAUUAGCUAGUUGGAGAGGUAACGGCUCACCACGGCGAGGAUGGGUAGCCGGCCUGAGAGGGUGAUCGGCCACAAGGGGACUGAGACACGGCCCUGACGCCUACGGGAGGCAGCAGUGGGGAAUAGUAGACAAGGGACCAAAGGCUGAUCCAGCAAUUCUGUGUGUACGAUGAAGUUUUCGGAAUGUAAAGUGCUUUCAGUUGGGAAGCGGUACCAACAGAAGAAGUGACGGCUAAAUACGUGCCAGCAGCCGCGGUAAUAC
rnacentral:rRNA from 1 species